AGCAGCAACAGCUUCUUCAAGAAAAGGCAACACUUAGUCAGCAACUUGAUGAUGCUACCACUCUCCUUGAGCAAGCAGUAAAGGAUAAAUCAACUGUUGAAUUAGAAUAUUACAAAAGGCUCAAAAUUCAAGAUACUCAAAUAUUGGAAGAGAAGACACAAGUAGAGGAGAAGAAACAGAUUAUUACUGAAGAUUAUGAAAAACUGAAACUGAAAGUAGCU